rnacentral:ncRNA from 1 species
ACUCUAGCCUGGCACUGUGAAGAGACAUCAGAGGUGUAAAUGGGAGGCCUCGCGGCUGUAUAACUCACGCCAUGGCCCAGACGCCAGUGCAAAGCUACUGAUCAUUUUUUCCACUUCCCCAGUGAGGUGGGGGCAUGGGGGAGCCCCAAAGGGCUCUCACUUCUGAUGCGAAGUGCCUGGCAUGACCUGCCCCAGGGACAGUGUCAGGUGGAGGUAGUAGGGCAGUAGACCUGUCAAACCGUAACACGGGCGUCCUGAGGUGAGCUCACGGAGGACAGAAACCUCCUGCAGAACAGAAGAUCGAGGCUUCAUCUUGAUUUUCAGAACAAAUGUUGUCCAUGAAAGCAGGGCCUCAUGAUCCUUCUGAAUUUGGGUUUUAAGCUGGCAUCCAGGAG